rnacentral:rRNA from 1 species
GCCCUACGGGGGGCAGCAGUGAGGAAUAUUGGUCAAUGGGCGCGAGCCUGAACCAGCCAAGUCGCGCGAGGGAUGACGGCCCUACGGGUUGUAAACCUCUUUUGCCGGGGAGCAACGGGCGCCACGUGUGGCGCCACUGAGAGUACCCGGAGAAAAAGCAUCGGCUAACUCCGUGCCAGCAGCCGCGGUAAUACGGAGGAUGCGAGCGUUAUCCGGAUUUAUUGGGUUUAAAGGGUGCGCAGGCGGAAUGUCAAGUCAGCGGUAAAAUUUCGGGGCUCAACGCCGUCGAGCCGUUGAAACUGGCG